UGUCCUCCGCCCUGUCUAAUCUGGGUAGCUUUCAGGGUUGGGGUAACGCGUUUCCACAGUGGAUCCCCCCCUUCACCCCCUCCCAGGCUGUUUUCACAGGAAGCGAAUCCUGGGGCGUUUUCAACGUGCCCCUCCAGGCAGAACAAUGAGGCCCUUGAAGCCUGGGAUCCUCGCUUCCUCCUGUUAUCCCGGAGCAGGCGAGGGAGUCUGCGCGCGGAGGGGACCCCGGGACCUACGCAGGGCCAGCGGUGGGGGAGGGCCUGGCCUGCAGGGUGUCGCCGAGCCGCCCCGGGGAAGCCCGGCAGCCAAAUCACAGGUUGGGAUCCGCCGGUGAUGCCGAGUU
rnacentral:lncRNA from 1 species